AGUGCUCCUUAGCAAUUGGGGCAGCCUUAACCAAUGGCGUGCGUCGCCAGCCUAUUUAUGGUAGAGUGAUUUUGAACUCUGGAGGCGCAACAACCCGUCCCCCCCUCGCUGUUUCCUGUCACACUCCUUCCCGUUUAUCUGUGGCUGUGCUCCCACCGCUUGGCUUUGUCCACUUUUUGUUAGCAGUGCACUUUCCUGCGACGUGAUUUUUUGUCUGCCGGUGACUGUGUAUCCACCGUUUGGCUUUCCUCCGGUCUUGCUCAGCUGUGCAUUUUGUGUGCGGUGAUUUCCGAACAUUCUCUUGGCGUCUGUUACUAAGUGCAGAUGACCCAUGGAAUUCUGUGAGCCUUGCUGGGACUAGGCGAGAAGUUUUUGAUCGCUUGGUGUUGCCGGUUUUGGUCCGGGUUUGCUGCUGUUCUUGCCAACGCGUUUCUACCGAGUGCUGCUUUCACUGAUUGGUGCAGCUGCCUGUGAAACCACCAACCACCACAGCAUUUUAACAUUAGUUUUAACCUUUGUAGCGUGUGUGUGACUGCUUGUGUGUCUGAUCAUCAUUCAUCUAUAAUCAGUGUGCGUGUAUAUGUGCUUGGAGUGUGGCGUGAGGGAUAUUUUCUUUUCUGUUAAAUUGGGUAUUUUUGUUUAUUUGCUUUAGCCCUGCUCAGGUACCACCAGCUGGCAGGAGGCCCUUUUUCUAUAGCUGCGGAUAGCCAGUGGGCUAUCUUAUUGGGCCUGAUUUAUGUUAAUGCUUUUUCUUUAUUGCUUAUCUGUUUAUUUGGUUUAAUGCUCGCGAGAGCUUACUUUAUGUGAACUUGUGUGUGGCUAGCAACCACAUCUGUCAACUUUUUUUGCCGUGGCAAGCAGCCUUUUGUUGCCAGCUGUAUGCCAGUACUGGUGGGAGGCCAUUGCAAGCUGUGGAUCAUCAGUGGUCCACAUAGUUCCCCUCCCUUAGUUUACAUCGUGUGUGGUUGUGUUUUAAUUGGUUAGUUUGUUGUGAUCAAGCUGUAUGUUAUUUCUUUGUUUGAUUUUCUCUCCUCAUACCUCCUCUCUGUUUAUUUAUUUUUCAGGUGCUGAGUGCCCAAGGUGGGGUGGCAGCUGAUCCCCUAGGUGGUGGUGUUCCCCCAUUUUCCGUGUGUGUGUUCACAUAUGCCUGUGUGGAAUUCUCCUUUUGUUGUGCUUUUGAUUUAUUUCGAUUUGGUUUGCAGUGAGUGUGACACGUGUGCUUGCAUGGUGUGCCUCCUUGGAUCCCUCCUCCGUCUCCUGGUAUCUUGCCCCCUGCUGGUAGGCCUUAACCCUGUUAAUAUUGAUUUCUCCCUUAAGGCCAAUUUAUGCUGACAACCCAGUCCUCGCAGAUGGCGUUGCAGAUGGCGUCUGCGAAGCCCCUCCCCCCUUUGCAGACGCUCUGUGCGCACCUCCCAAAAAUUGUGACCACUGCAGACAGCCUCGCAGACAGCGUCGCAGACAAGAGGGCUCUGAUUGGUCCACUCUACAUCCGCUGUACACGCACUUCCGCUUCCCUACUUUCCCAGUUUGGUUUGUUUUCACGACCGCCAUUUUUAAAAACACGAGCGAAGAUGGAGCAGCACGAAGAGCGGUUGAUCGAGGAAGUACGUACAUCUAUACGACUCCAGUUCUAGUCAUUAUAAGUAACCGGAGGAUAAACACUCCACUAACCACACCCACCAACUACUCCUAGCGAUUUCGCGACUUCGCGCGCCCUUGCGUUGUGGCGGUGAAUAACAUUGCGCACGCCUAUUACUCCUCGCUCAACGAUAAAUUACAACUGUCUCCGAAAAGCUAUCUGCGAAAGCCUUGUCGCAAGAGCAUGCAGAGGCCCUUACCCUUGCCCCACAUACGGUACACGUCAGUCAAACCUUCGGAUUGUGAGUGUGAAUGAAAGUGAUUGUUUGUGAAGUAAAGGAAAGAACUUUUAUUUUUGUAAACAUUGUAAUAAAAUAAAAUAACCUUUUUGUAUUUUCAUAA